rnacentral:rRNA from 1 species
UGUGUGUCGUAGUUAACGCGUUAAACAGGGCGCCUGGGAAGUACGGCCGCAAGGCUAAAACCCAAAGGAAUUGACGGGGACCCGCACAAGCAGUGGAGCGCCUGGUUUAAUUCGAUGGUCAGCGAAGAACCUCACCUAGGCUUGAACUGUAGCUGCACACUCCCAGAAACGGGAGAAUCCUUCGAGGGUGCUACAGAGGUGCUGCAUGGCUGUCGUCAGCUCGUGUCGUGAGAUGUAGGGUUAAGUCCCACAACGAGCGCAACCCCUAUUCAGUGUUAUAAUUACUCUGAAGACUGCCCUGUCCAAACGGGGAGGAAGGAGGGGACGACGUCCAGUCAUCAUGUCCCUUAUGUCUAGGGCUACACAGACGCUACAAUGGCCGGUACAAUGGGUUGCCAAACCGCGAGGUGGAGCCAAUCCCAUCAAAGCCGGUCCCAGUUCGGAUUGCAGUCUGCAACUCGACUGCAUGAAGUUGGAAUUGCUAGUAAUCGCGAAUCAGCACGUCGCGGUGAUACGUUCUCGGGUCUGUACACACCGCCCGUCAGGGCACGGGAGUCGCUCUUGC